rnacentral:rRNA from 1 species
UACGAAGGGGGCGAGCGUUGUUCGGAUUUACUGGGCGUAAAGGGCGCGCAGGCGGCCGCAUUUGUCAGGCGUGAAAGCCCCGGGCUUAACCUGGGAACUGCGUUUGAUACGGUGUGGCUAGAGUUCGGGAGAGGAGAGUGGAAUUCCCAGUGUAGAGGUGAAAUUCGUAGAUAUUGGGAAGAACACCAGUGGCGAAGGCGGCUCACUGGACGACUGAUGACGCUGAGGUGCGAAAGCGUGGGGAGCAAACAGG